rnacentral:rRNA from 1 species
UGGGGAAUAUUGGACAAUGGGGGAAACCCUGAUCCAGCGACGCCGCGUGUGUGAAGAAGGCCUGCGGGUUGUAAAGCACUUUUAGUGGGGAUGAAAAGUUCAGGGCUAAUACCUCUGGAUCUUGACCUAACCCACAGAAAAAGCACCGGCUAACUCUGUGCCAGCAGCCGCGGUAAUACAGAGGGUGCAAGCGUUAAUCGGAAUUACUGGGCGUAAAGCGUGCGUAGGCGGUUUCGUAAGUCGGGUGUGAAAGCCCCGGGCUCAACCUGGGAAUUGCAUUCGAGACUGCGAAGCUAGGGUGCGGAAGAGGGAAGCGGAAUUUCCGGUGUAGCGGUGAAAUGCGUAGAUAUCGGAAGGAACAUCAGUGGCGAAAGCGGCUUCCUGGUCCAGCGCCGACGCUCAGGCACGAAAGCGUGGGGAGCAAACAGG